UACGUAGGGUGCAAGCGUUGUCCGGAAUUAUUGGGCGUAAAGAGCGUGUAGGCGGCCAGGUAGGUCGGUUGUGAAAACUGGAGGCUCAACCUUCAGAGGUCGACCGAAACCAUCUGGCUAGAGUCCGGGAGAGGAGAGUGGAAUUCCUGGUGUAGCGGUGAAAUGCGCAGAUAUCAGGAAGAACACCCGUGGCGAAAGCGGCUUUCUGGAACGGUACUGACGCUGAGACGCGAAAGCGUGGGGAGCGAACAGG
rnacentral:rRNA from 1 species